UGGCUCAUUAUAUAAGUUAUCGUUUAUUUGAUAGCACCUUACUACUUGGAUAACCGUGGUAAUUCUAGAGCUAAUACAUGCUAAAAAUCCCGACUUCGGAAGGGAUGUAUUUAUUAGAUUAAAGACCAAUGCCUUCGGGCUUUUUGGUGAUUCAUGAUAACUUCUCGAAUCGCAUGGCCUUGCGCCGGCGAUGGUUCAUUCAAAUUUCUUCCCUAUCAACUUUCGAUGCGAAGGUCUUGUCUUCGCAUGGUUACAACGGGUAACGGAGGGUUAGGGCUCGACCCCGGAGAGGGAGCCUGAGAAAUGGCUACCACUUUUAAGGAAGGCAGCAGGCGCGCAAAUUACCCAAUCCCGACACGGGGAGGUAGUGACAAUAAAUACUGAUACAGGGCUCUUAUUGGGUCUUGUAAUCGGAAUGAGUACAAUUUAAAUCCCUUAACGAGGAACAAUUGGAGGGCAAGUCUGGUGCCAGCAGCCGCGGUAAUUCCAGCUCCAAUAGCGUAUAUUAAAGUUGUUGUGGUUAAAAAGCUCGUAGUUGAACCUUGGGCCUGGCUGGCCGGUCCCCCUCACCGGGUGCACUGGUCCGGCCGGGUCUUUCCCUCUAUGGAACCUCAUGCUCUUUACUGAGUGUGACGGGGAAAUAGGACUUUUACUUUGAAAAAAUUAGAGUGCUCCAGGCAGGCCUAUGCUCGAAUAGUACAGCAUGGAAUAAUAGAAUAGGACGUGUGGUUCUAUUUUGUUGGUUUCUAGGACCGCCGUAAUGAUUAAUAGGGACAGUCGGGGGCAUCAGUAUUCAGCUGUCAGAGGUGAAAUUCUUGGAUCUGCUGAAGACUAACUACUGCGAAAGCAUUUGCCAAGGAUGUUUUCAUUGAUAAGGAACGAAAGUUAGGGGAUCGAAGACGAUCAGAUACCGUCGUAGUCUUAACCAUAAACUAUGCCGACUAGGGAUCGGACGAUGUUAUUUUUUUGACUCGUUCGGCACCUUUCGAGAAAUCAAA
rnacentral:rRNA from 1 species